rnacentral:rRNA from 1 species
AUGCCUGUUGUAUCAAAAAGGAAAACUGAUUUUGAUAUUGUUCUUCAAUGUUCGGUAGUUUUCAUACUCUCAAACUUUCAAGGUCUUAAUUAUGCAGAUGGAGUCCUCUUUAUUUUUUGCUUUAAAUUUAUUGACAGUUUGUUCCCAAUAGAAGCAUGGAUUGCAUUGCCCUACACAAAGAGAACAUUAGCAAGCUUCGGAAAAGGAAAACUGAAGAGACAUUAUAUAUGUAAUACUUGGACCUUUUUAUCUCACAAAAUCUUAUCAGUGCUAAUGAGUUCAUUUGUUGAUAAGUUAAUUGUGUCCUAA